UAAAAAAUUAUUACUACUUUAAAUCACUUUCCAAAGACUAAGCAUUUUUUAAAUUGUUAAUGAUGGCCCCAUUCUCUCAUUUAAUUUCAUUUUUAAUUUUUAACUUUAAAAAACACUCCAGUUAGAUACAAAUAUUUUAAUUUUUAUUUAUUAGGGACCAUAUAUUUAUGCAAUAUCCAUGUUUGCUACCAUAGGCACUUGAGCUGUGAUGAUUUCACUUUGGUAACUUGAAAAUGUAUAUAAUAGAUUUUUAAAAUUAAUUUGUAACAGGAAUAAAAAUUACCACAGUGUGAGAAUUCACAAAGCUCCCUCUCCUUCCCCUUUUUCUAUCCUCACUCCACAACUGGCACUAGCUUUUAAAGGGGAUGAAUUUUUGCAUCCUGGAUCAGCGCCUGGACUUUUCUUUGGAAAAACAAACAAAGAGAAUGGAUAAAACUGAAAGAAAAUGGAAAACAUCCCUUCACUAUUCUGGUGGGAUUGACCCCAUCCCCAACUCCAAAGAUGGGCCCUAAUUUGUUUAUCCAAAUAAUACACAUACACACACACACACACACACACACACACACACACACACACACACACACAGCCCACCUUCUGUGGAGGCCUCAGUCGCUAUGACAAGAUCCAGUGUUGUUUUCUCCAUAGUAAUGAUGACUUUCCUUGUUUUUUGGUUUGUUUGUUUACUAGAAAAAUUAAUUCCCUGGAACUGAGGACUUUGGUGUCUUUUUCACUCCUAUGCCCAGCACCUAGCACAAUGGCACAGCAUCUGACACAUAGUAAAUAAUCAAUAUUGCUAUUGCAGUAGCUUCCUAACUGGUCAAAUUACUUCUGAUCCCGCCCCGCCCUCUCAGUGCAGCCCCACCCUCUGCACCUCUGUACCUGUGCAGCAGCUUCCUCUGGCCAGCAUGGUGUCCACAGCCCAGAACCUGGCACUAGGAGAUUCCUGGAGAAAAUGGGUACCAAGUCCACAGGAAGAAGUAAGUUCUUGGAUAGAUCCAGUGCAAGGUCAGUUUGCCUUAGCAGAGCACCAGAGUUCAGCAAAAGAAUGAACAUGUUCUAAUGUCAAGAUCACUCACUUUGGGAGAAGCCAACCACCAUGCCAGUAGAUACUCGAGAUGCCCAACAAAAGUGACCACAUGGUGAGAAACUAAGGCCCCUUACCCAUAACCAGCACUAAUUCGCCAUGUAAGUCACCUUGGAAUUGGAUCCUCCAGCCUUGGUCUAGUCCUCAGAUGACUGCAACCACACACAGCUACCACGUUGACUGCAAUCUCAAAAAAAGACCCUGAGCCAGAAUCACCAUCUAAGCCCCUCCCAUAUUCCAGCCCCACAGAGUUAUGUGAGAUAAUAAAUGUUUAUUAUUUUGAACCACUAAGAU
rnacentral:lncRNA from 1 species